AUUGAACGCUGGCGGCAUGCCUUACACAUGCAAGUCGAACGGCAGCGGGGGAGAAGCUUGCUUUUCCUGCCGGCGAGUGGCGAACGGGUGAGUAAUACAUCGGAACGUGCCCUGUAGUGGGGGAUAACUAGUCGAAAGAUUAGCUAAUACCGCAUACGACCUGAGGGUGAAAGUGGGGGACCGCAAGGCCUCAUGCUAUAGGAGCGGCCGAUGUCUGAUUAGCUAGUUGGUGGGGUAAAGGCCUACCAAGGCGACGAUCAGUAGCUGGUCUGAGAGGACGAUCAGCCACACGGGGACAGAGACACGGACCAGACUCCUACGGGAGGCAGCAGUGGGGAAUUUUGGACAAUGGGCGAAAGCCUGAUCCAGCAAUGCCGCGUGUGUGAAGAAGGCCUUCGGGUUGUAAAGCACUUUUGUCCGGAAAGAAAUGGCUCUGGUUAAUACCUGGGGUCGAUGACGGUACCGGAAGAAUAAGGACCGGCUAACUACGUGCCAGCCGCCGCCGUAA
rnacentral:rRNA from 1 species